GGGUUGUGAGGUUAAGCGACUAAGCGUACACGGUGGAUGCCCUGGCAGUCAGAGGCGAUGAAGGACGUGCUAAUCUGCGAAAAGCGUCGGUAAGGUGAUAUGAACCGUUAUAACCGGCGAUGUCCGAAUGGGGAAACCCAGUGCAAUUCGUUGCACUAUCGUUAACUGAAUACAUAGGUUAACGAGGCGAACCGGGGAACUGAAACAUCUAAGUACCCCGAGGAAAAGAAAUCAACCGAGAUUCCCCCAGUAGCGGCGAGCGAACGGGGAGCAGCCCAGAGUCUGAAUCAGCUUGUGUGUUAGUGGAACGGUCUGGAAAGUCCGACGGUACAGGGUGAUAGUCCCGUACACCAAAAUGCACAGGCUGUGAACUCGAAGAGUAGGGCGGGACACGUGGUAUCCUGUCUGAAUAUGGGGGGACCAUCCUCCAAGGCUAAAUACUCCUGACUGACCGAUAGUGAACCAGUACCGUGAGGGAAAGGCGAAAAGAACCCCGGCGAGGGGAGUGAAAAAGAACCUGAAACCGUGUACGUACAAGCAGUGGGAGCACCUUCGGGUGUGACUGCGUACCUUUUGUAUAAUGGGUCAGCGACUUAUAUUCUGUAGCAAGGUUAACCGUAUAGGGGAGCCGCAGGGAAACCGAGUCUUAACUGGGCGUUAAGUUGCAGGGUAUAGACCCGAAACCCGGUGAUCUAGCCAUGGGCAGGUUGAAGGUUGGGUAACACUAACUGGAGGACCGAACCGACUAAUGUUGAAAAAUUAGCGGAUGACUUGUGGCUGGGGGUGAAAGGCCAAUCAAACCGGGAGAUAGCUGGUUCUCCCGAAAGCUAUUUAGGUAGCGCCUCGUGAACUCAUCUUCGGGGUAGAGCACUGUUUCGGCUAGGGGGUCAUCCCGACUUACCAACCCGAUGCAAACUACGAAUACCGAAGAAUGUUAUCACGGGAGACACACGGCGGGUGCUAACGUCCGUCGUGAAGAGGGAAACAACCCAGACCGCCAGCUAAGGUCCCAAAGUCAUGGUUAAGUGGGAAACGAUGUGGGAAGGCACAGACAGCCAGGAUGUUGGCUUAGAAGCAGCCAUCAUUUAAAGAAAGCGUAAUAGCUCACUGGUCGAGUCGGCCUGCGCGGAAGAUGUAACGGGGCUAAACCAUGCACCGAAGCUGCGGCAGCGACACUAUGUGUUGUUGGGUAGGGGAGCGUUCUGUAAGCCUGCGAAGGUGUGCUGUGAGGCAUGCUGGAGGUAUCAGAAGUGCGAAUGCUGACAUAAGUAACGAUAAAGCGGGUGAAAAGCCCGCUCGCCGGAAGACCAAGGGUUCCUGUCCAACGUUAAUCGGGGCAGGGUGAGUCGACCCCUAAGGCGAGGCCGAAAGGCGUAGUCGAUGGGAAACAGGUUAAUAUUCCUGUACUUGGUGUUACUGCGAAGGGGGACGGAGAAGGCUAUGUUAGCCGGGCGACGGUUGUCCCGGUUUAAGCAUGUAGGCUGAUUGUCCAGGCAAAUCCGGAUAAUCAAGGCUGAGGUGUGAUGACGAGGCACUACGGUGCUGAAGUAACAAAUGCCCUGCUUCCAGGAAAAGCCUCUAAGCAUCAGGUAACAUCAAAUCGUACCCCAAACCGACACAGGUGGUCAGGUAGAGAAUACCAAGGCGCUUGAGAGAACUCGGGUGAAGGAACUAGGCAAAAUGGUGCCGUAACUUCGGGAGAAGGCACGCUGGUGUGUAGGUGAAGUCCCUGCGGAUGGAGCUGAGACCAGUCGAAGAUACCAGCUGGCUGCAACUGUUUAUUAAAAACACAGCACUGUGCAAACACGAAAGUGGACGUAUACGGUGUGACGCCUGCCCGGUGCCGGAAGGUUAAUUGAUGGGGUUAUCCGUAAGGAGAAGCUCUUGAUCGAAGCCCCGGUAAACGGCGGCCGUAACUAUAACGGUCCUAAGGUAGCGAAAUUCCUUGUCGGGUAAGUUCCGACCUGCACGAAUGGCGUAAUGAUGGCCAGGCUGUCUCCACCCGAGACUCAGUGAAAUUGAACUCGCUGUGAAGAUGCAGUGUACCCGCGGCAAGACGGAAAGACCCCGUGAACCUUUACUAUAGCUUGACACUGAACAUUGAGCCUUGAUGUGUAGGAUAGGUGGGAGGCUUUGAAGCGUGGACGCCAGUCUGCGUGGAGCCAACCUUGAAAUACCACCCUUUAAUGUUUGAUGUUCUAACGUUGGCCCCUGACCGGGGUUGCGGACAGUGUCUGGUGGGUAGUUUGACUGGGGCGGUCUCCUCCCAAAGCGUAACGGAGGAGCACGAAGGUUAGCUAAUCCUGGUCGGACAUCAGGAGGUUAGUGCAAUGGCAUAAGCUAGCUUGACUGCGAGCGUGACGGCGCGAGCAGGUGCGAAAGCAGGUCAUAGUGAUCCGGUGGUUCUGAAUGGAAGGGCCAUCGCUCAACGGAUAAAAGGUACUCCGGGGAUAACAGGCUGAUACCGCCCAAGAGUUCAUAUCGACGGCGGUGUUUGGCACCUCGAUGUCGGCUCAUCACAUCCUGGGGCUGAAGUAGGUCCCAAGGGUAUGGCUGUUCGCCAUUUAAAGUGGUACGCGAGCUGGGUUUAGAACGUCGUGAGACAGUUCGGUCCCUAUCUGCCGUGGGCGCUGGAGAAUUGAGGGGGCUGCUCCUAGUACGAGAGGACCGGAGUGGACGCAUCACUGGUGUUCGGGUUGUCAUGCCAAUGGCACUGCCCGGUAGCUAAAUGCGGAAGAGAUAAGUGCUGAAAGCAUCUAAGCACGAAACUUGCCCCGAGAUGAGUUCUCCCUGAGACUUUAAGUCUCCUGAAGGAACGUUAAAGACGAUGACGUUGAUAGGCCGGGUGUGUAAGCGCAGCGAUGCGUUGAGCUAACCGGUACUAAUGAACCGUGAGGCUUAACCUUACAACGCCGAAG
rnacentral:rRNA from 1 species